rnacentral:lncRNA from 1 species
UGGUGGAUAUCUAAAUCUUAUUUUAUCAUAAUUAGGUGGUAUGUGUUUCAUUCUUCUGGAUUUUAAAUGGAUUAUUAAUUUUGAUUCAAUACUAGAUAUUAAUGUAAUUAAGUAGGCUAAUCUUUGUGGGUUUUCUUUUGUUUUAUUUAGACUUAUAUAUUCUGAAUAAUUACUAAUUAAAGAUUCUUUAAUUUUUCUA